rnacentral:rRNA from 1 species
UACGAAGGGGGCUAGCGUUGCUCGGAAUCAUCUGGGCGUAAAGCGCACGUAGGCGGCUUUUUAAGUCAGGGGUGAAAUCCUGGAGCUCAACUCCAGAACUAGCCUUUGAUUACUGAGAAGCUUGAGUCCGGGAGAGGUGGAAGUGGAACUGCGAGGUGUAGAGGUGAAAUUCGUAGAUAUUCGCAAAGAACACCAGUGGCGAAGGCGGCUCACGUGGCCCGGUAC